rnacentral:lncRNA from 1 species
GUCCCCCUUUAUAAUAAACUAUAGGAUAUUGAUUUCCUAAUUCUAAUAAUAUAUCAAAAAUUUUUUCUCCUCUCUCCACGAAGAAUAAUUAUUUUUUACUAAUAAAUUCGGUUUUUCUGACACUAAUUUUAAGCCGUGAAUAUUUUUGGUGACAUAUGAAAUUCUUUUUCUAUUUUCUAAUGAUAACUUGUAAAAUUUAAUGUUCGGAUGGUAAAAAUUAUAGAUGUAAUUAUAAUUGUUAAUAAUAUCUGCCACAUCAAGUUGUCUGUAUACAAAUCCGAAUGUUGGUCGGAACCCUUCAAUAUCGAUUAUCACUCCUUUAAUAUCUAAAUUAAUAGUACACUUUUAAAUAAAGGUAUAUUUAAAAAAAAUUCAAAAAUACUUACUGAUAUUUUCCAUUACAGGCAUAUAAAAUAGUCUCUUGUAUACUCUGAUCACAGUUUGGUAAAUUUCUCAAGGAAAUUUAUCAAUCGAUCUAAGGUUUUCUCGCCCUUGAACAGAUAUAAUAAACGUUAUCUGGAAUAUGAAAAUGAACUCCAUAUUUCACACGAAAGGAUCGUCACGACAGAUUUUUAAUUUAAAUAUCCAAAAAUAUUGUCUGAUUCGAUUAGAUGGAUUCGAUUCAGUUAUGCAAAUUAAUUGUAUCAGACCCAUUAAUCCGUCAAUAUUUUGGAGGAAUUUACCGUUCAGACAAACUUCCAAAACAUCGGGGAAGAUGCAAAUCUUUUAUAAUUAAUCUAGAUCCACAGUAUUUAAAAGGAUCGCAUUGUGUUUCGGUAUAUAAAGGGUAUUAAAAAUCAAAACUGUAAACAUGAUAUGCAAUAAUAAAAAAAAAUUUUAAAAAUUGUUGAUAUAAUAAGUAACCUAUAAAAGUUUUUAUACAAAGUUUAAAAAAAGUUCAUAUAAAACAAUUUCUUAAAAGAACAUUUUCAUUGAAAUAGUUGAAACAUUAAUAAAUGUUUUUUCCAAAUUUUGUAUAACAACAGUUUCGUUAAGAAGUAGUUUUUAUUAAAAAUGAAAAACCAGAUUUAUCAAUGAAAAAUAAUUAUUCAAUAUAUUAUUAAAAUUAGGAAAUAUGGUUAAUUUAAAGAUAAUUAAUUUAAAUUUAAUUUUUCGCGAACGAAAUACCUAUAUGAAUUCACGUCAUAUAACCCACAAUGUGGGAUUAAUGUUUUGUGAUUCGUACAAGGUAUUCUAAUUUCCGAAGAUUUCGGAGAUCGGA